CAGUCGCCGCGGUAAUACGGAGGGGGCUAGCGUUGUUCGGAAUUACUGGGCGUGAAGCGCGCGUAGGCGGUUACUCAAGUCAGAGGUGAAAGCCCGGGGCUCAACCCCGGAACUGCCUUUGAAACUAGGUGACUAGAAUCUUGGAGAGGUCAGUGGAAUUCCGAGUGUAGAGGUGAAAUUCGUAGAUAUUCGGAAGAACACCAGUGGCGAAGGCGACUGACUGGACAAGUAUUGACGCUGAGGUGCGAAAGCGUGGGGAGCAAACAGGAUUAGAUACCCCCGUAGUCCCUGUCUCUUAUAC
rnacentral:rRNA from 1 species